rnacentral:rRNA from 1 species
CCCUUAGAUGUCCUGGGCUGCACGCGCGCUACACUGACACGUUCAUCAAGUCUAUAACCUUGACCGAGAGGUCUGGGUAAUCUUUUAAAAACGUGUCGUGCUGGGGAUAGAUUAUUGCAAUUAUUAAUCUUCAACGAGGAAUUCCUAGUAAACGCAAGUCAUCAACUUGCAUUGAUUACGUCCCUGCCCUUUGUACACACCGCCCGUCGCUACUACCGAUUGAAUGAUUUAGUGAGUACCAGGGACCGAGCGCUUUGGUUGGGUUUCCUUCCCUAGCGCUUGGGAACUGUCGCAAACUUGACCAUUUAGAGGAAGUAAAAGUCGUAACA